rnacentral:rRNA from 1 species
UACGGGGGGGGGCAAGCGUUGUUCGGAAUUACUGGGCGUAAAGGGCGCGUAGGCGGCCUGCUAAGUCACACGUGAAAUCCCCGAGCUCAACUCGGGAACUGCCCUCCAAACUGUUUGGCUUGAGUCCGGGAGAGGUGAGUGGAAUUCCCAGUGUAGCGGUGAAAUGCGUAGAUAUUCGGAGGAACACCAGUGGCGAAGGCGGCUCACUGGUCCAUUACUGACGCUGAGGUGCGAAAGCGUGGGGAGCAAACAGG